rnacentral:rRNA from 1 species
GAGGGGGCUGCGGCCGAUUAGCUAGUUGGUAGGGUAACGGCCUACCAAGGCGAUGAUCGGUAGCCGGCCUGAGAGGGCGCACGGCCACACUGGCACUGAAACACGGGCCAGACUCCUACGGGAGGCAGCAGUGGGGAAUUUUGCACAAUGCCCGCAAGGGUGAUGCAGCAACGCCGCGUGAGGGAUGAAGGCCUUCGGGUCGUAAACCUCUUUCGACCGGGAAAAACGCCCCGAUGAAGAAUCGGGGCUGAUGGUACCGGGGGAAGAAGCCCCGGCUAACUACGUGCCAGCAGCCGCGGUAAUACGUAGGGGGCGAGCGUUGUUCGGAAUUACUGGGCGUAAAGGGCGUGUAGGCGGUGCGGUAAGUCGGGCGUGAAAUCCCCGGGCUUAACUCGGGGGGGUCGCUCGGGACUGCCGUGCUGGGGUGCGGGAGAGGGAAGUGGAAUUCCCGGUGUAGCGGUGAAAUGCGUAGAGAUCGGGAGG